AGGAUUGGGCCCUUUGAAUUGUAACUGUAAUUUUUUUUUUUUGUAGAAAAAUAAAAUAAAAUAAAAGGGAAAAGAAAAAUUUUGGAGAGAUAUUUUUUUAGCAUAUUAAAUAUAUCUUUAUGAUAUAUUAUGCAGUGCAUUUAAAUAUUAUGAUGAUUUUAAUUAUGUCUUUGUGAUGUAUGGAUGAAACUUUUGGCAUAGUAUAAUUUUUUAUG
rnacentral:lncRNA from 1 species